rnacentral:lncRNA from 1 species
AUUUAAGGGCUGACUGCCACUGGGGAAAGAUCUCUCUCUGGAGAUGCUCCUCUUGGAGUCUUUUAUGGCAAGCCCAGAACAUGGGUAAACUUUCCAUUCAUUUCCAAUUAUCCCUCUCUAACACAAUAAUACAUCCAGCUUAACUUCUCUGUAUACUUACUGAUUAUACAAUAUCCAAGUUGGAAGUGCAGAACUUCAGUAGAAACAAAUAGAAGCAUUCAAACUACAUGUUUCCAUAUAUCUUUCUAAUAAAAGAAGUUAUCACUUUUUAAAAAUUCCAACAAAGCUGUUCCUGGGAUGAGCUAGAGAACAAUUUUGAGAACAAAUAGACACAAAGAUAAAAUAUGUUCCUCUGGAAAAAAAUAAAAUUAAAACCAAAAAAGAACAGCAAGGAACAACACAUUAAAAAAUAGUUAGAGAAAAAUAAUAUAGAAAUAAUAAUUUAAAAGCGAUUAGAAAUCCUUCACAUACAGUAAAAUAAGAAGAACCUGGCAUGAGCUAUAUGACUUAUUGAUGAAAAUAAUUUAAGUAAAUAGAAAUAAAAUAUAAAGGAAUGUCUGGUAACCUUGUAAAGUGUUCAUAACUACAGCAGCGUAGCCUUCCCAAUAUCACAUGCAGGUAUGUUGUCUUGUCUCUUUCAUUCAGAAGUUGUCUUGCUCCAAUUUGUAGGAGGGAGAGGAGGUUCUUUGGUAUUUGUAUACCUAACAUGAGAUUAAGAAACAACAGUUUGAACGUUGUCCCAACCAGUAUAUUACAAAUCCUAGUCUCUAAGGGAGAUGGGGAAAGGAAGGUGGCAACAAUUAUUAAUUAGGGUGAUGGGGGAUGGAAAGUGGGCUAUCGGAAAGAAGCAAGAAUUACGUAAAGCAGGAAUAGUCACCAUCAAGAUCCAGCAGUGUCCCGAUGCACACCGUCCCAAUGGUCUAAAGCCAAUACAGGAACAAGAGCGCAGGGAAGAACAGUGGCAAAGUGGCUGGCCUUAGGCAGCAAGCAGGUACAGUGACAGCACGUCCAGGAGGAAGAGGCAGGUCUCAGGUAGCAGGCCCAGGUGAGUCUAUCAGCAGACAGGUAUUAUAUCAUAAGGCACCUGAUGUCACACACAACCCUUUUGGUUAUAGGCCCCUUUUUUAUCCCUCUUCUGUCAAUGUGGCAUUCAGGUGAGAGUCAUGUGCAGCACCCCUGAGAUGGCUGUCUCCCUCGAGAUGAGCCCAUACAAAAGACUGCUUCACAGCCAUUAAGCUGCUACUUAUCUCUCUCUUGUUGCCACUAGCCUGCUGUAUAGUCAACAAAUACAGAGUGGUAUGGUCAGAUUGGUAUCCACAGAUCAUAAAGCUAGAAAGAUUAUCGCGUUGGAGAGGGAUAAUCUGAAACAAAUGGAAAAUGCUCGCCUGUGUUGUAUGCUUGCGGGAAAAAAAGUCCAAGAGGAGCAAUCUCCAAAAACAGAUUCUAUUUCAGCGGCAGUCAGCCCUUAAAUGGGGUCUAGGAGAGGUGGAACCAGGCUCCACUCCUUCCAGUCACACAGGUGAAUUGCCUUCACCUGUGUUCCUGCAGCUUACUCAGUGCUUGCCUUAGCUGAUCUAUCAGAGGUUCAGGCUGUGAUUCAACAGUUACCAUACACCUGCAAAUCUUCAGACAAAAGAUUUCUCUGACUUUGACCAGGACUUGUCUGGACUUGUCCAUCUGUGCUCCUCAGCAACCUUUGAGACAAAGAUGCAAAAAGAAUAAUCUCUUACACAAGUUCACUUUCAAAUUUUUUGACAUAAUUAUAAAACUAUAAACAGAUUGCUGAUACUAGUCUUCUGUGAUGGGGAUUCUAGCUACAUCAAUUGCAAUGAGUUUUCUUUUAAAACAUUGACUGAAAACUCAGCUUGAUGCCAUUUGCAGUUUAAGCACAUAGACCUGGUGCGUUAAAAUAUGGGAAAAAGAUAUGUUUACAUUCAAAUUGUGCUGCUAAUUGUCAAAGAAAGGACAAGUGGAGGAUAUCUGUAAAUAGAUAAAUAUACAAACAGAAGCCUUCAUCUAAUUUGUGAACAAAAUAAUAAUAGAAUAAUAUAUUAACACAUUUUUAUCU